UUAAUUGAAACCAAAAAGAGGUAUAUCAUUGUUAAUGAUAAAAAUGAAUUUUAUUCCAAUUAAA
rnacentral:tRNA from 1 species